UAAAUUUAAUUUAUUCGUUCA
rnacentral:piRNA from 1 species